rnacentral:rRNA from 1 species
UAGGGAAUAUUGGUAAUGGGCGAAAGCCUGAACCAGCAACGCCGCGUGUGCGAUGAAGGCCUUCGGGUUGUAAAGCACUUUUUGAGGGGAUGAGGUAGGACAGUACCCUCAGAAUAAGUCUCGGCUAACUACGUGCCAGCAGCCGCGGUAACACGUAGGAGACAAGCGUUAUUCGGAUUUACUGGGCGUAAAGCGCGUGCAGGCGGUCUGGUAAGUUGGAUGUGAAAGCUCCUGGCUCAACUGGGAGAGGUCGUUCAAUACUGUCAGACUAGAGAGUGGGAGAGGGAGGUGGAAUUCCGGGUGUAGUGGUGAAAUGCGUAGAUAUCCGGAGGAACACCAGUGGCGAAAGCGGCCUCCUGGCCCAUUUCUGACGCUUAGACGCGAAAGCUAGGGUAGCAAA